CUCAUCCAAGCAAUUGACACGGACAUUCUUGCUGCCCAGUAGCCUUCCAGCCUCCUCGGUGUUUCCUUUAAAGAUCACUCCCAGAAGUC